rnacentral:lncRNA from 1 species
CACGACGCGUAGCACAGCCCCGCAGGACGCACCACGGGCCCAGGGUCACCACGCGUAGCACAGCCCCGCAGGACGCACCACGGGCCCAGGGUCACCACGCAUAGCACAGCCCCGCAGGACGCACCACGGGCCCAGGGUCACCACGCGUAGCACAGCCCCGCAGGACGCACCACGGGCCCAGGGUCACCACGCGUAGCACAGCCCCGCAGGACGCACCACAGGCCCAGGGUCACCACGCGUAGCACAGCCCCGCAGGACGCACCACGGGCCCAGGGUCACCACGCGUAGCACAGCCCUGCAGCACACACUAAAGGACAAAACACUGGAAACAGAGGAACAAGCAGACACGCGCGAUGCACACAGACGUUAAUACAGUUUUUACAAACGCUCUGCAUAUAAACAUAUCCCCAACAUGUAACGCUAUUGUUUAACUUGCCUAAUGCAAUGAGCUGACAGACCACAUCCAGUACCCAUGCACACACAUGCAAACACAUGCACGCAUACACACGCACGCACGCAUGUACAGGAGCCUGCACACACACAUGCAUGCACACACAUGCACACACACAUGCACACAUGCACACGCAUACAGGAGCCUGCACAUAAACACGUGCAUGCACACACACAUGCACACACGCAUAGGAGCUUGCAAACA